rnacentral:rRNA from 1 species
AAUGGCUCAUUAAAUCAGUUAUCGUUUAUUUGAUAGUACCUACCAACUACUUGGAUAUCCGUGGUAAUUCUAGAGCUAAUACAUGCUAAAAACCUCGACUUCGGGAGGGGUGUAUUUAUUAGAUAAAAAACCAAUGCCCCUCGGGGCUCCUUGGUGAUUCAUGAUAACUUAACGGAUCGCAUGGCCUUGCGCCGGCGACGGUUCAUUCAAAUUUCUGCCCUAUCAACUUUCGAUGGUAAGGUAUUGGCUUACCAUGGUUUCAACGGGUAACGGGGAAUUAGGGUUCGAUUCCGGAGAGGGAGCCUGAGAAACGGCUACCACAUCCAAGGAAGGCAGCAGGCGCGCAAAUUACCCAAUCCCGACACGGGGAGGUAGUGACAAUAAAUACUGAUACAGGGCUCUUUUGGGUCUUGUAAUCGGAAUGAGUACAAUUUAAACCCCUUAACGAGGAACAAUUGGAGGGCAAGUCUGGUGCCAGCAGCCGCGGUAAUUCCAGCUCCAAUAGCGUAUAUUAAAGUUGUUGCAGUUAAAAAGCUCGUAGUUGAACCUUGGGCCUGGCUGGCCGGUCCGCCUCACCGCGUGUACUGGUCCGGCCGGGCCUUUCCUUCUGGGGAACCGCAUGUCCUUCACUGGGCGUGUCGGGGAGCCAGGACUUUUACUUUGAAAAAAUUAGAGUGUUCAAAGCAGGCCUUUGCUCGAAUACGUUAGCAUGGAAUAAUAGAAUAGGACGUGCGGUCCUAUUUUGUUGGUUUCUAGGACCGCCGUAAUGAUUAAUAGGGAUAGUCGGGGGCAUCAGUAUUCAAUUGUCAGAGGUGAAAUUCUUGGAUUUAUUGAAGACUAACUACUGCGAAAGCAUUUGCCAAGGAUGUUUUCAUUAAUCAGUGAACGAAAGUUAGGGGAUCGAAGACGAUCAGAUACCGUCGUAGUCUUAACCGUAAACUAUGCCGACUAGGGAUCGGGCGAUGUUUCUAUCUUGACUCGCUCGGCACCU